rnacentral:rRNA from 1 species
GAUUAACGCUGGCGGCGUGCCUAACACAUGCAGGUCGAACGAUGAAACUUAGUAGACUUCUUCGGAAAGACACUAAGCGGCUUAGUGGCGAACGGGUGAGUAACGCGUGAGUAACCUGCGUUACCCACGGGGAUCGGCUUCGGAUACGAAGAAUAAUACCCUAUCAAACCAUACAAGCAUAUGCUAGAAUGGUCAAAGUGAUAUCGGUGGAAGAUGGACUUGCGUAUGAUUAGCUAGUUGGUGAGAUAAAAGCUCACCAAGGUAACGAUCAGUAGCCGGCUUGAGAGAGUGUACGGCCACAUUGGGACUGAGACACGGCCCAGACUCCUACGGGAGGCAGCAGUGGGGAAUUUUGCACAAUGGGGGAAACCCUGAUGCAGCGACGCCGCGUGAUUUAGAAGGCCUUCGGGUUGUAAAAAUCUUUUGUAUAGGAAGAAAAUGACAGUACUAUACGAAUAAGGUCCGGCUAAUUACGUG